UAAGACGAACCGUGCGAACGUUAUUCGGAAUCACUGGGCUUAAAGCGCGUGUAGGCGGGCCGCCGCGUCGGUCGCUGAAAGCCCCCGGCUCAACCGGGGAACGGGCACCGAUACGGGCGGCCUGGAGGGGAGUAGGGGGACCUGGAACUUCCGGUGGAGCGGUGAAAUGCGUUGAGAUCGGAAGGAACGCCCGUGGCGAAAGCGAGGUCCUGGGCUCCUGCUGACGCUGAGACGCGAAAGCCAGGGGAGCGAACGGGAUUAGAUACCCCGGUAGUCCUGGCCGUAAACGAUGGGCACUGGGUAGGGGGCUCGCCGAUGGGCUCCCUGCCGCAGCGAAAGCGUGAAGUGCCCCGCCUGGGGAGUAUGGUCGCAAGGCUG
rnacentral:rRNA from 1 species